GAUAAACGAUGGAAGCCAACACUAGUAGAAUGGUUGCUUUGAAUGGCACAAAUUAUGUCAUUUGGUAGGGUAAAAUGGAAGAUUUGCUCUAUGUCAAGAAUUUUCAUCUACCUGUCUUCACCAUUAUAAAGCCUGAUAAUAAAUCAGAUGAAGAGUGGAGUUUGUUACACAGGCAGAUUUGCGGCUUUAUUAGACAGUGGGUUGACGAUAAUGUUUUGAAUCAUAUUUCUGGGGAUACACAUGCUCGGACCCUUUGGGAGCACCUUGAAAGAUUGUAUGCUCGGAAAACUGGAAACAACAAGAUGUUUCUAAUAAAGCAGAUGUUAGGUUCAAAAUACCAUGAUGGUUCCGCGAUGACAGAUCAUCUGAAUAAUUCUCAGGGGAUUAUGAACCAGUUAUCUGCUAUGGGCAUUAAAUUUGAUGAAUAAAUUCAAGGUCUGUUUCUACUUGGUUCCCUACCAGAUUCUUGGGAAAUUCUUAGAACUUCAUUAUCAAAUUCUACUCUGCAUGGUGUGAUCUCUAUGGAUCUUGCCAAGAGCAACUUUUUAAAUGAAGAAAUGAGAAGAAAAUCUCAAGGAUCCUCCUCAUCAGAUGUCUUGGUGACGGGGAGAAACAAGAAUCGGGGUUCUCAAAAUAGAGAACAUAAUAGAGACAAAUCCAGAAGCAGACUUAAAGAUAUUGAGUGCUAUCAUUGCGGGAAGAAAGGGCACACAAAGAAGUUCGGCCGGAUUUUGAAAAAGGAGAAUAGAGACAAGGAAGAACAAAAAGGAGAUGGCAACCGUGUGGCCACCGUCACUACAGAAGAUCUUGUUACUGUCCUUGAUGCGGAUUUGAUAAAUAUUUGCUGGAUUUUGAAAAAGGAGAAUAGAAACAAGGAAGAACAGGAAGAAGAUGGCAAUCAUGUGGCCACCGUCACUACAGAAGAUCUUGUUACUGUCCUUGAUGUGAAUCUGAUAAAUAUUGCUUGUGAUGAGUCAAGCUGGGUUGUGAACAGUGGUGACGCAUUUCAUGUGACAUCAAGGAAGAAAUUUUUCUCAUCCUAUACUCAGGGUGACUAUGGAACUUUGAGUAUGAGUAAUGAGACUGUAUCUAGGGUGGCUGGUGUUGGAACAAUUUGUUUGAAAACUACUUUUAUACAAUGUAAAGCAUGCACCUGAUGUUCGUUUGCACUUGAUCUCUGUUGGUGUUUUGAAUGAUGAGGGAUAUGUUAGUACCAAUGGUGCUGGAAAGUGGAAGCUCACUAAGGGCUCCAUGANNNN
rnacentral:lncRNA from 1 species